rnacentral:lncRNA from 1 species
AGGCGCAUCAACCAAAGUCCAAACUUGGUUGGUAUACAUGGAGUUUAUUUCAAAUUUCAUGGCAUUAAGCUAUUUGUCAGAGUUGCUACUCAUGAUAGCUUUCGAAUAGGUCGUGGGAUCAUCAUUCUCAAUGAAGUGAGAUGUAUUAUCAUUCUCAAUGACAAAUUCAUACCUGAGUGGUACAUUAUGUACUUUACUUGACCUUCGAAGAGGAGUUGUGUGCAGUUGC